AGCAGCCGCGGUAAUUCCAGCUCCAAUAGCGUAUAUUAAAGUUGUUGCAGUUAAAAGCUCGUAGUUGAAUUUCGGAAUCAGUACGCUGGUCGUGCCUUCGGUAUGUACUGGUGUCACUGAUUCCUCCCUUCUGAAGAACCAUCAUGCCAUUCACUUGGUGUGGUGGGGAAUCAGGACUGUUACUUUGAAAAAUUAGAGUGUUUAAAGCAGGCUCGCGCUUGAAUACAUUAGCAUGGAAUAAUGAAAUAGGACGUUAAUCCUAUUUUGUUGGUUUCUAGGAUCGACGUAAUGAUUAAUAGGGAUAGUUGGGGGCAUUAGUAUUCAAUUGUCAGAGGUGAAAUUCUUGGAUUUAUUGAAGACUAACUACUGCGAAAAGCAUUUGCCAAGGAUGUUUUCAUUAAUCAAGAACGAAAGUUAGGGGAUCGAAGACGAUCAGAUACCGUCGUAGUCUUAACCAUAAAACUAUGCCGACUAGGGAUCGGAUGAUGUUAAUUUUUUAAUGACUCAUUCGGCGCCUUAU
rnacentral:rRNA from 1 species